AGUGGGAUAGCUGGGUCAAAUGGUAGUUCUGUUCCAGGUUUUCUGAGGAAUCUCCAAACUGCUUUCCAUAUUGGCUGCACCAAUUUGCAGUCUCACCAGCAAU
rnacentral:pre_miRNA from 1 species